GACGAACGCUGGCGGCGUGCUUAACACAUGCAAGUCGAACGGAAAGGCCCUGCUUGCAGGGUGCUCGAGUGGCGAACGGGUGAGUAACACGUGGGUGAUCUGCCCCUUACUUUGGGAUAAGCCUGGGAAACUGGGUCUAAUACUGGAUAGGACCAUGCUGUAGGUGGUGUGGUGGAAAGAUUAGUUUCGGUAAGGGAUGAGCUCGCGGCCUAUCAGCUUGUUGGUGGGGUAAUGGCCUACCAAGGCGUCGACGGGUAGCCGGCCUGAGAGGGUGGACGGCCACAUUGGGACUGGGAUACGGCCCAGACUCCUACGGGAGGCAGCAGUGGGGAAUAUUGCACAAUAGGCGCAAGCCUGAUGCAGCGACGCCGCGUGGGGGAUGACGGCCUUCGGGUUGUAAACUCCUUUCAGCCAUGACGAAGCCCUUGUGGUGACGGUAGUGGUAGAAGAAGCACCGGCUAACUACGUG
rnacentral:rRNA from 1 species